UACGUAGGUGGCAAGCGUUGUCCGGAUUUAUUGGGUUUAAAGGGUGCGUAGGCGGUCAUGUAAGUCAGCGGUGAAAUCCGGCAGCUCAACUGUCGAUGUGCCAUUGAUACUGCAUGACUUGAGUACUGAUGAGGUAGGCGGAAUUGACGGUGUAGCGGUGAAAUGCUUAGAUAUCGUCAAGAACACCGAUAGCGAAGGCAGCUUACUAAAGAGUAACUGACGCUGAGGCACGAAAGUGUGGGGAGCAAACAGG
rnacentral:rRNA from 1 species